ensembl:snRNA U6 U6 spliceosomal RNA
GUUCUUUUUUGCUAGCACAUAUACUAAAAUUGGAAUGAUACAGACAAGAUCAUUGUGGCCCCUAGCAAAAAUUAUAUGAAAAUUCACAAAGCAUUCCAUAUUUUU